rnacentral:ncRNA from 1 species
UCAAAAUCUUUGAUCAGGAAUAGUAACUUUAGGAUUUAGUUUCAGAGAGUUGAGGAUGGUGGGAUCUCAAUACGAUAACCUUUAGUGAAUGGACCUGUUAGAUGUAAACCGAAAUCUUUUUAGAGAGUAGUAUUUACCGUGAUUCGCUCGUUACAGCGAUAGGAUAUGUAUGUAUCUGAAAUGAGAUAUGAAUGAAGCUUUUCUUUAUACACUUUAUUCAUAAUUUAGGUGGCAACGCGAAUGAUACUUCGCCCUAUAA